UACGUAGGGUGCGAGCGUUGUCCGGAAUUAUUGGGCGUAAAGAGCUCGUAGGCGGUGUGUCGCGUCGGUCGUGAAAACUUGGGGCUUAACUCUGAGCUUGCGGUCGAUACGGGCAUCACUUGAGUUCGGCAGGGGAGACUGGAAUUCCUGGUGUAGCGGUGAAAUGCGCAGAUAUCAGGAGGAACACCAGUGGCGAAGGCGGAUCUCUGGGCCAUUACUGACGCUGAGGAGCGAAAGCGUGGGGAGCGAACAGG
rnacentral:rRNA from 1 species